rnacentral:rRNA from 1 species
UGGGGAAUUUUGGACAAUGGGCGAAAGCCUGAUCCAGCAAUGCCGCGUGUGUGAAGAAGGCCUUCGGGUUGUAAAGCACUUUUGUCCGGAAAGAAAUCCUUGGCUCUAAUACAGUCGGGGGAUGACGGUACCGGAAGAAUAAGCACCGGCUAACUACGUGCCAGUAGCCGCGGUAAUACGUAGGGUGCAAGCGUUAAUCGGAAUUACUGGGCGUAAAGCGUGCGCAGGCGGUUUGCUAAGACCGAUGUGAAAUCCCCGGGCUCAACCUGGGAACUGCAUUGGUGACUGGCAGGCUAGAGUAUGGCAGAGGGGGGUAGAAUUCCACGUGUAGCAGUGAAAUGCGUAGAGAUGUGGAGGAAUACCGAUGGCGAAGGCAGCCCCCUGGGCCAAUACUGACGCUCAUGCACGAAAGCGUGGGGAGCAAACAGGAUUAGAUACCCUGGUAGUCCACGCCCUAAACGAUGUCAACUAGUUGUUGGGGAUUCAUUUCCUUAGUAACGUAGCUAACGCGUGAAGUUGACCGCCUGGGGAGUACGGUCGCAAGAUUAAAACUCAAAGGAAUUGACGGGGUCAUAGCUGUUUCCU